AGGAAGGGGUAGCCCAGAGCACGCGGCUGAGAAGGCCGAUGCAUGUGGAACACCUGUCUUGCCCUCUGAUUCCUGCCUGGUCACCCCUGGGAGGAGCUCUCCAACAUCCCAUACUUAUCCUGAAAGUUUCAAUUAGGAGUGCUUUUCUGAAUUUGUGAAUUGGAAAGAGGCAGCUUGGGCUUUGUAUGCUUAAGUAAUGCUGGGAAAGUUGUAAGCACUUGAGUCAUUUAGAAUAACUCAGUCACAUAGUUCUCUUGUUGGUAAAAAUUUAGAAAAAUUCCAAGGUGGUGAUAAACCUGGUCAGAGAGAGGGGAAAGCAAAAGAAGCCUUUUGGGUUUAAAAUAAAACUAAAACUCAAGAUGAGAAUUUGGGGGAGGAUGUAAAAAUGUAUUAAUCACCAACGAGGUAACAUUUAUAAGUACAGGUUCAAAGAGUACAAAAUCCAUACAGUAACUAGGGAUCAUAAAGCUUUGGUUAAAACAGCUUCCUUGAGGGGUGCCUGCGUGGCUCAGUCGGUUAAGCAUCCGACUUUGGCUCAGGUCAUGAUCUCACGGUUUGUGAGUUCGAGCCCCACUUCGGGCUCUGUGCUGACAGCUUGGAAGCUGCUUCAGAUUCUGCGUCUCCCUCUCUCUGUGCCCUUGCCCCGCUUGUGCUCUCUCAAAACUGAAUACGCAUUAAAAAAAAUUAAAUCAGAAAACCCCUUAUGAGUUAAAAAAAAACAACAGUUUCCUUGAACAGACUUUCUUCUUUGGCUAUCCUUAGCCUAACAAGAAAGAGAUUUAACUUUUUAAAAGUAAACAUCCCUAAAUUAAUUCCUCACAACGGUAAUAUCUCUUGGGUUUGGGUUUUUGUAGUUGCUCCCAAGAUAUUUCAGAUUUGACCACAGCCUCCCCACCACAGUUGCUCAGGCUAAUGAACUUGCAUGAGGUCACACAGAACUGUGAUUCAUUUCUAAGAAAGUCUGCUUUUGCACAGACGUCACAUACACUUGAGACUCCUGUGGUCAAGAAGGAGCUAAAGCCAUUGUUCUAGAGGUGAAAAAUGAGGCCCCAAGCUUUUCAGUGACUUUCCUCAGGUAACAUUGUAAAUGUGAGAUGGACUGAAACUCAACUGAGAAGGCCAGGCUUCUUGCCCAGUGCCCUCUCUCCCCUCCUCUCACCCCGUGAUUCAGCCCACACUCUAUCAGCAUAUUCUGUUUAUUCUACCAAGACAUUCAGAGUCCAACUCCUACCAUCUGGCCCCAAACCACCACUGUCUCCUAGACUGUUGUUGUAGCUUUCUUGUUAGUCUCCUUGCUCUGCUCUCUCCCCUGUUCAGUCUAUUCUCAGAACUGUUUGAAAAUAGGGGUCAACACAAAUCAUGUCAUUCUGCACAAAAUGUCCAAAUACUUCCGUUGUUAUUUAGAGUAGAAGCCAAGGUCUUUACGUGGGCUAUAAGGCUGUCCAUGAUUGGCCCCCCUGAUAACUCCCUGAAAUCAUCUACCCCUCUUUCUCCUGAUAAUGCCCUGCCAGCUACACUAGGCCCCUUACUAUUUCACCACUGUUGAGGCAUGCUUCUGCCACAGGACUCUGGCACCUACUCUUUUUUUCUGCCUGGAAUGUUCUUCUGAAGAUUGCCACAAUCUGAAGAUUUCCCCAACAAAUGCUCUUUAUCUCGUUCUUUUUAUUUGUCUCCAUUGCACACACCACCAUCUAGCACACGCUGGGCUUUAUUUAUUUCAUUUAUUAUCCGUCUUCUCCCAUUACAUGGUAAGCUUCAUGAUGGUGAGCGGAGAUUUUUAUCUGCUUGCUUGUUUGCUUGCUCUUUUCUAGCACCUAGUACAGACAGGUGGUCGACAAAUAGUUUUUGGACAAAUUAACUUUAUGCUAAUAUAUUUUGGGAGGGAGGAGUAGCUCAAACGACUUUGCACUGGAACAUCCCUCCUGCCCUAUGGGAAAGCAUGAUUGGCCAAGACAGCAGGAAAAGGCCUUUUAGAAAUUGGCGGUCAUGAAGCCUGGGGACAAGCAUAAUGGAUUUAGAGCCGAUAGACGGAGUAUAUCUGAACGGUGUCUGCUCUGCCUCACUGACAAACCCUGUCAUUCCCAAGAGGCUUUCACUAGUUGGCUAAGUGCUGUGGGCCUCUUAAUCUUAAAUGUCACCACAGAACCAUCCUGCCCCACCACCUUUAAACGAAUACGAUUCUUGUUCUCAGUCUUGGCUACUUCCUGGUCUUUUUGUUGGCCGUGCUGAGCACUGGAGUCUCCUCAGCUGCCACCGCACAAAAGAGGUACCAGGUUCACACUGCAUAAGCACACAAACGGGACCGGGAGCAGCAGAAGGAGGUGGCGGUGGUGGAGGAGGGAAGGGGUGUUGGCUUUCUGACUACAGUUUUUCCAUCUUGCUCCAGGGUAUUAACAGCCAGGACCCUCAUCAGAGAUGGCAAAGAGCCCCCCUAAACGCUUACAGAGGAUGCCCAGAUUGACAUCCCUGAAUUGCCCCCCUAGACUUAAUGUUCCUUCACCAGAUCUGCUACUGUGUCGUGACAGAAGGACCUUGCCAGCACUUGCAAGGUUCCAGAGAACUCACAUAGCUUAAAAGAGAUCCUAGAAUUGUAUUCCCUCUUUCCAUUUGUCCCCAUGGGUUUCUGAGAAGCCAAGCCGGUUCCACAGCGACCUAGACAUGGUAGGAACCGCCUGGGGAAAGAAGAUACUUCUUUCUGCUUCAUCUUAAAGCUAGCUUUAAUUUACAAAGGCAGAACGUAGUCCCCAAGGGAACUCCAUGCCUGUCAAGUUGUGUUUGAAUAUUUUUGACUUGGCCAGGUUCUAGCGCCAAAGUAUCAUCAGAAGCCACCAACUUGUAUAAAAAAUAACAACAGUUUGAGACCUAACAUCUCAGGAGUUGAUUGGCAUAUGCUUCCGGGUGAGUUGAAACUUCCUGCCGUAUGCAAAGGGGCACAGCAUCCUGUGAAUCUCUGUACAAAAGACUGAGUAGGAAUCACAAAAAGUCAGUAUUAGAAGUGAUUUCAGAGAUGGGGAAACUGAGGCCUGGAGAUUUCAAGUGGCUCACUGAAACUUCUUAAGACUCAUUCCUUUAUCAGGAGAGAGGAAAGAAAGAGGGAGUAGAAAUUCCCAACAUAGCUCAGGCAAGACUCUUCUGCGGCCUGAUAGAAGCUGGUUAGGGGCACUGACUCAGCCAAGAAAAAACAUUUCCUAAGUUUAAAUAUAGCUUCAGGAGGUCAGGGCUUUACUGGAACCCAAAAUUUUCCUGAACUGCCUCUUUCUGCAUGUGGUUCAAAGCUGUUCCUAUCACUGGUUUUUGAUGUACUUCCAAUUUCUCUCACAGUGAACAGGUAAACAUCUGGCUUGAUAGAUAUUACACACAGUUCUGAUUUUACACUUACAUUCUGGAGAAUUCUUUCCCUUGGCUGACACAGUCUGAAUUGCUUUCAGCAAACAUAUUUUUUGCCUUGGAUCUUGACAAUGGUGGGAGGGUGGCACAUUCUUGGGUAGGGAGAGGAAAGUUUAUAUAUAUCAGGUUAAAAACAAACAAAGAGGGGCGCCUGAGUGGCUCAGUCGGCUAAGCGUCCGACUUCGGCUCAGGUCAUGAUCUCACAAUUCAUGAGUUCGACGAGCCCCGUGUUGGGCUCUGUGCUGACAACUCAGAGCCCGGAGCCUGCUUUGGAUUCUGUGUCUCCCUCUCUCUCUGCCCCUCCCUCGCUCAUUCUGUCUCUCUCUCUGUCUCUCCAAAAUGAAUAAACGUUAAAACAAACAAAGAAAACCAAGAGUCACUUAUGAAGGGAACACUUACAAGCCAGACUUGAAUUUACAUUCACUUUCAUCAAGUUUCAAAAGGUAAAUGUUUCAGAGAGAACAUUUCAACAGCGGUGAAAGAUGAAUAGAAAGAAAACGAAUGAUUUCACAUUCAAGCGCUUGGCUUGGCAUUUUGAAGAAAGGGAUGGAGGUAAUGAUGUCAUUGGACGAAGUUCGUGAUAAUAGGUUUUUAGAACAAUUAAGUGUAGAAUACGUUCUCUCUUUUUUAAGUUUAUUUUGAGAAAGAGAGAGAAAGCGCGUGGGCACGAGUGGGGGAGGGGCAGAGAGAGAAAGAGGAUCCCAAGGGGGCUCAGCACUGUCUGUGUAAAGCCUACCUCAAGGCUGGAUCUCACAACCUUGAGAUCAUGACCUGAGCUAAAAUCAAGAGCCGGACACUUAACUGACUGAGCCACCCAGGCGCUCCAAGUAUAGAUUACUUUCUGACCAUACAAUUAUUAGGAAGUGGCAUUGCAUUUCUUUUUAUUAUUUUACAUACUUCCUUCUGCUAGUUGCGUUUCUGGUGAUAGCACGUAUCUCAAAGCGGGUAGCAUUUAUCAAGUACUGUUCCAGCUGCUCCACUGCACUGGGUCCUGAGAGAUAGUUACAGAGGGAGGCACCAAUAAAACCCGUUUUCUGGAGGAAUUUAACCCUUAAUGACAGGAAAAUGAACCUAUCUGUGUGUAUUAAAAGCAACUUGUGAAAUAUGAAGUAACGUCACGAAGGGGAAAUAAAAUUUAGAAAUGCACUUAUUAUAAUUCAGUUUAUAUUUUGAUUACAUAUGUAAUGGCAGGAUGUCUUGGAUAUGGACGAGAGGGAACGAGAUUGGCCGCAUGUUGGUCAGUGUUGAAACUGAGGUUCGUUACAUUCUUCUCUCUAGUUUUCGUAUUUGAAAAUCUCUUAAUCCAACUUUAAAACAAAGAACUGAGCUCCAACUUUGCGAUUAACUGGCUGCUUGAGGGUGGGUGGCCUUUCAUAUAAGUGAGAACAUUCUCUCUUCUAUGUUCACAAUCUAGUCAUCUCCUGCCUCCUUUUCAUGCGUCUUCCAAAUAAAAUCUUUCUUCAGUCAAUAACCUUGAAUUCCAUUACUCUAGGCCUUUAUCAACGAAAAUAUAAUCCUAAUACAGUAUUAUUACAAAACUUUAAGCACAUAUUUUAUUUAUCAUCCUCAGAUAGUCAAAGCUGUUACAGCCAGCUCGGAGCACACUUCCAAACUCAGUGCUGAUGAACCAGAUCCAGGAAUCAUGCCUUUCUACUUGCUCAUGGGCUCAUUUCACAGUGAUCUUUAGGAGUAAUUGACUAAGGACACAUAGUUCGUUUACUGGGCAUGUCUUCUCAGACCACAUAAUCUUAGGCCAUUACAAUAUCACUUACAGCUUCUGCUGUUUUUGAACAAGGCUGCAAGAAGCAUUUUCAGGAAUUUGUGAGAAAUGAGGGCAUUGUAUGACCUAGUGUUUUGAGUAAAAGCCAGUACUAGAAAAACUGUUACUUUCCCUGAAGGAAUUGACCUACUACCUCCUCUCAGAUUCUAAUUAUCUAAAUGACUGAUUUCCCCUUUUUACCUUGACUAUCAAGAAAGCAAAGUCCAAUUAAGAAGUCACUUUCCAAUUAUGAAAAUAAUAAAUAUUACAUGCCCAUGAUAGAAAAGUUGUAAAAUACCCAAGGAGCAAAAACAAGGAAAAGAGAGACAUAAAAAAAUUAACCCAUGAUCCUGUCAUCCAGAAAAGCCACUGAUAAUGUUUUUUGUAAGAGACAAAUAUGAGACUCAGUUAAUGGAAUUAAAUUUAUCAUUAGGGUUGAUAUGAGUGCUUACCUUUUACUUGGUUCUGAUUUUCUCAAUUUCCUACCUUUUAAGCAUAUGCAUGUUGAAACUGUUUCAAGCCAUUUGGGGGAAGAAGAGGUGCCAACAAAAAUUUAUCCUUAAACUAAUAUGGUGGCAAUAUGAGGCAACUAUUGUCAAGUUUGGGUCUCCUGAUACAAUACCUGCUUACUAUGGGAUUACGAGGACAAGUGAGUCACCGGUUACACAUUGAAAAUUCCAAAGUACUAUAAAAUAAUGAUAAUAAAACGAGCUAACACUAUUUGAGUUCUUUGCUAUGUUUCCCGGCACAACAACCCUACAAAAUGGUACUGUUUUAGCAUUUCAGUCUUUGGUGUUAUUAAAUAGUUCACUUCACUCUUUUGUAGAGUAAUGAGGUAUAAACCUUAAUCCCUAUAACCUCAGAAUGUUAUCUUCUCUGAAAAUAAGUCUGUGCAGAUGUAAUUUAAAAUAAUGACAUUGAGAUGAAAUCAUCCUUGAUUUCCACAGGAUGCCCUAAGUCCAAUGAAAAGUGUCUUUAUAAGACACACCUCAGAGGAAAAGUAAUGUGACCAUGGAAGAAAAGAUUUGAGUGCUGUGAUAUCAAGCCAAGGAAGGCCUGGAGCCACCAAAAACUAGACAAGGCAAAUGACCAAUUGCCCAUAGAGCCUUCAGAGGGGGAAAUUUCAGAUAACUUGUUGAGAUCCUCCUGUGACCAGGUGAUUAUAUGGACACGAUCAACUUCUGGGGGCUAAUGAAGACAGACAAACACAUGGCGGCUGAGAUCAAUGAGACAAAAGUCACUCUUCUUUUUUAGUAGCAGAGCUGGGAUACAAACCCAGUCUCUACCUGUUGUUCUGGACCGAAGGCAAUUUUGACCCUCAACCCCAACCCUAGGAGACACAUGGAAAUGUUUGAAGACAUGUAUGGUUGUCACAGCUGGAUGCUAAAUGUUAUUAACAUUUACCAGAUAGAAGCCAGGAUUUCUGCCAAAUAUUCUACAAUGCACAAGACAGCCUUCUGCAGCCAAACAUUAUCCAGUCCCCAUUGUCAAUAGUGCCAAGGUUGAGAAACUCUGCGUAACGUGACCAGGAUCGUCAAUAUAUUGAUUCUUCCAUGGCUUAUGGUUUGAAUUGUUUCUUUGUAAAAAGGGUAUAUUGAAAUCCCAACCUCCAGUUCCUCAGAAUGUGAACUUGUUUGGAGAUAAAGUCAUUGCAGGUAUAAUUAGUUAAGAGGGGGUCAUGCCGGAGCAGGAUGGGCCUGUAAUCGAAUGACUGGUAUUCUUAUAAAGAGAAUGCCAUGUGUGGAUAGAUACAGAAACACAGGGAGAAUUCCACGUGAGGAUGGAAUGAUACACCUACAAGUCAUUGAGUGCCAAAGAUGGCCGGGAAACCAGCAGAAAUUAGGAAGAGUCAAGGAAGGAUCCUUCCCUAAAGGUGUCAGAGACAGCAUGACUCUGCUGACACCUUGAUUUUGGACUUUGAGCCUUCAGAACUGUGAUACAAAUAAGCAGCCCAGUUUGUGAUACUUUGUUAUGGCAGUCCUAGGAGGCUAAUACUUAUGCUUUCACUGAACUGUACUCCAUUAAUAUCCUCACUUGCUGCCUUGCCCAGUUGAAAUAAUGGUGAUCGCUAAAGCAAUGGAAUAUACGAUCUUGCACAACUAUAUUUAUUUCAAUCAGGAAGUAAAGAGAUUGAAAUCUGGGUAUAUGUUCCAGUAUUUAUCUAUCCAAAUUGAGUAAUAAAAUGUUGCAGGCAGGUAUGAUAAAAAGUUUGGGUAAGGAUGAAACUGGAAAGAAGUCGAGGACUUAUAUGAUUCACUAAAUUGAUAUACCAGUGGGUUCUCCAUUGACAUAGCAGAACUCUUGAAAAGGGCCUUACCCUGUACACCUGAGCUGACUCUUCUUGGGGUAUGCUUUGUACUGGUUCACAUAAUCCAGGUUUUAAUUCCUUGAGCAAAGACCAAGAACCUCAAAUCCACAGCAUUGGUGUCAAAUCUCUGGCCAAGAACUCCAAGUGUAUAAUCUCAGCUAUUGUGCUGGGUCUGAAAUAGUGAUUUUCUUUUACUUUGUUGAUUAAAUGAUUUUGCAAAUCUGAGACUGUACCAAAAAAAAAAAAAACUAAUAAUAAUAAACACAGAUAUAAUGAAAAAAUAGACAUGGGUUUUGAUAUGAAUUUAUUUUUAUGCAAAUAUAACAAUUUUAAAGAUAAUUUUACUGCUUUGUAUAUUCGUUAUGUUAAAGACAUUUGAGAGAAACUAACAUAGUAAACAAAUUAUUUUAACUGAAAUACUUGGGGUGUUUAUCCAUUUAUACACAUUUCCAGUCAAUUUUCAAUACUUAAUGUAAUCUUAUUUACUAAAUUUAUGAGUUUGAGGUUUAAAAUAUUUUUAACUUAUUUUUUUGAGGUAUAAUUGACACACCAUGUUGUAUUACGUUUCAAGUGUACAACAUGUUGAUUUGGCAAGUCUGUGCAUUACUUAGUGCUCGUGAUAAGUGUAGUCACCAUCUGUCAGUAUUAUAUUACAAUAGUACUGACUACAUUCCCUAUGCUGUACUGUACUUUGCCAUCUCUGUGACUUAUUUAUUUUAUGACUGAAGUUCGUACCUCCUAAUGUCCUCUAUCUCUUUCAUCCAUCUGCCAGCCCGCUUUCCCUCUGGCAACCACCAGUUCAUUCUCUGUGUUUAAGAGUUUGCUUUUUGUGGUUCAUUUGCUUUGGUUUUUAGAUUGUACAGAUAAGUGACAUCAUAUGGUAUUUGUCUUUCUCUGACUUGUUUCACUUAGUGUAAUACCCUCUAGGCCUCCAUGUUGUUGCAAGUGGCAAAACCUCAUUAUUUUUUAGUGGCUGAGUAAUAUUCUACUCUAUAUAGAAUAUUAUAUAUAUUAUAUAUAUACCACAACUUGCUUGUCCAUUCAUCUAUCAAAGGACACUUAGGUUGCUUCUAUAUCGUGGCUGUUGUAAAUUAAUGCUGCAAUUAACAUAGGGGUGCAUAUAUCUUUUCAGAUUAGCACUUUUGCCUUUUUUGGGUAAAUGCCCAAUAAUUUUUGAAGCAUCUCCAACCCACAAUGGCUGUACAAGUUUACAUUCCUACCAACAAUGCACAAGAUUUUCUUUUUCUCCACAACCUCUCAACACUUGUUGUUUCUUGUCCUUUUGACACUAGUCAUUCCGAUUGUCAGGUAAUAUCUCACUGUGGUUUUGUCUUCAUUUCCCUGAUUAGCCUUGUUGAGCACCUUCUUGCGUGUCUGUUGGCCAUCUGUCUGUCUUUGGAAAAAUGUUCAGGUCUUCUGCCAAUUUUUGAAUCAAAAUUUUUUUUUUGGUGUUGAGUUGUUUAGUUUAUAUAUAUGUGUGUAUAUAUAUAUUCACUAGGUUGCCUUUCUGUUGUUGAUGGUUUCCUUUGCUAUGCAGAUGUUUUUUUUUUUUUAUUUUGUGUAGUCCCAAUAAUUUAAUUUGCUUUGUUUCUCUUGCCAACAUAUCGAUAAAUAUGUUGCUAAGGCUGACAUCCAAGAGAUCACUGCCUAUGUUUUCUUUUAGGGGUUUUAUGGUUUCAGGUCUCACAUGUAGAUGUUUAAUCCAUUUUGAAUUUAGUUUUGUGUAUGGUAUAAGAAAGCAGUCCACUUUUAUUCUUUUGCAUGUAACUGUCUAGUUUUGCCAACAUCAUUUGUUAAAAAGACGUCUUUUCCCCAUUGUAUAUUCUUUCCUCCUUUGUCAUGGAUUAAUUGAACAUACAAGCACGGGUUUAUUUCUGGGUUUUCUAUUCUGUUCUAUUGAUCUAUGUGUCUAUUUUUAUGCUAGUAUCAUACUGUUUUGAUUACUACAGCUUUUUGUAUAUCUUGAAAUCUGGGAUUGCUGAUAGCUCCAGCUUUGUUCUUCUUUCUCCAGAUUACUUUGGUGAGUUUAGCUUUUCUUUUUUUAAUUUUUAAAAAUUUAUAUCCAAAUUAGUUACCAUAUAGUGCAACAAUGAUUUCAGGAGUAGAUUCCUUAGUGCCUCUGGUGAGUUUAACUUUUAAGAAGCUAAAAUACUUAAGAGAAUUAUAUGUAAAUAUGAAAGUUUUAUAUUUAGCUUUAUUAAAGUUGUGUAUGUGCUUAUGGAGGUUUGUUUAUGAGGUUUGUAUGUCUGUUUUCUUAAGUGCUUGAGAUUCUUGAGGAAAUACAUUAUAUGAAAUAUGACUGCAGCUGGAAAAUUCACAAGAAUGUAAGUAACCAGGUCUGUAAAAUGUGUUUAAAUAUGUAAGAAUGUUCAAAUUAUCGGAUUCACACGUUCAUUUAUUGAAUUAUAUACAUUUAAAGUAUGAGAUAGUUAUAUAUAUAGUAUCUAAAGGAUUAUGCAAAUUUUGUUAAAGUAUAAGCUAACCUAACAAUAAGUACAAACUGCAUUUAAUUUCAAACUAAAAAUUCUUAGUUUACUGUAUUUUUGCAAUUGUGUUUAAAAGCUCAGAAAAAAUAAGUUUUUCAAUUUAUAACUGUAGGCGAUUGAAUGUCAGUGAUAACACAGGCUACUGUAAGCAUUGUUUUCUGUACACAAAAGCCUCUAUGAGAUUUAAAAAAAAAAAAAAAAAAAAAAAGCCCAACUGAUGUCAGCCUGGGACGGAUCUGAGAAAUCUUUCUGAUGAAAGUGACUCUGAGGCUGGAAAUAAGGAAUCUGAAAAAGUUAGCCAGGAGAGAGGAAUAACAAUGUGUAGGGGAACACAGAAUUUCAGUCUUACUGGAAAUAAAGGAUCAAAGAGGAAUCCCUAGGGAGGCAGAUGUCACAACUCCUUAUUUGGAAAACUAUCCAAGGGGCAGCUAAAAACAGUUCUGCAAAGUGCUUCCCACUUCUAAAGCACCAUCAACAUACUUGGUAUGGUAAUAAUGAAUCUAACUGCCUAUUCCAGAACUCUCUGCUGUGAAGAGGCCGUGGUGGGCAAUGCCAAUUGGGAAACAAGGCUGUGGUUUGUGCCGCCUUCAGCAGAACCUGGUGCCAGCUCUGUGGCUCCGGAAACAGAGCUCAAUUGUAUCUUCCACUCCUCUCUCUUUUUAACCUAAUAAACUUUUCUGACAGGCAAUGGCACCACUCAGGCCUCACUGCCCGGUAGCCAUAUGAUCUCCAUCUGCACUGAGGUCAGCACAUAGGCAUAAAUGGAAGGAAGCAGAAAGCGUAUCAGGAGGAAACACAUGAAUGGAAUAAAAUGUAAACCAGACUUCUGUCCUGCCGUUGGCCCUCCCAGGCUACCAGAGACUCUUCCUCCUGGCUGACCUCUUCUACAGAGCCUUCUCCUACAUUCGCUGGGGAUCAACCACAGGAAGAAGAAGCUACAGAUGUUUCCUCAACAAAGCACUCUGAACAGAGCAGAGUAAUGCAGCUAUUCUGGACUUGGAACCAGAAGACCCAGCUUCACAUUCUGACAAAAGCACUGCCAUGCCAUGUCCCACAAAGAGAAAAUGCACCCACAAGCAGGGGAGGGGCAGAGAGAGAGAGACACAGAAGCCAAAGCAGCCUCCAGGCUCUGAGUUGUCAGCAAGAGCCCGACGUGGAACUCGAACGCAUGAACUGCGAGAUCAUGGCCUGAGCCGAAGCUGGAUUGUCAACCUACUGAGCUACACAGUGUAUACCUUGAGAAACUACUACAGGACAAACAGGUUGGCAAGAAACAAUGAAUGCAACUGUCUGACUCUGUGGGAGCAGUAAGGUUGAGUGAUCCUCUUCUCCCUCAAGAAGUUCUUGGCAUCAGGGCUGACAACUGGAAAUGAAUGGAAACAAAGUGUUUUAAGGGCCCCAGUGAUAGCAAUAGCCCAGUGUUCUUCAGAGUCAUAGAUGCUUUGUUUAAAGAUUUCCCAGAGGAGCAUCAGUGCCAGGAGGAAAACAAGAUCAACCCAAAGAAUCUUCUGUACAUGGCCAGGGUUAUUGCAUAGCAGCUGGGGCAACAUCAAUGAGGGGAGAAUUUCAUUGAAAAUAGCCUUCACCAGGGGCACCUGGGCAGCUCAGUCAUUUAAGUGUCCAACUUUGACUCAGGUCAUGAUCUUGCAGUUCAUGAGUUCAAACCCGAUGUUGGGUUCUGUGCUGACAGCUCAGAGCCUGGAGCCUGUUUCGGGUUUUGUGUCUCCCUCUCUCUCUCUGCCCUUUCCCCACUCUCACUCUGUCUCUUUCUCUCUCUUUAAAUAAGCACUAAAAAAAAAAAAGAAAGAAAAGAAAAAUAAAAAGAAAAGAAAAAGAAAAGAAAAGAAAAGAAAAGAAAAGAAAAGAAAAGAAAAGAAAAGAAAAGAAAAGAAAAUAGCCUUCACUUUCGGCCAUAAAGCAUGACCCAGCAGAGCGAAUUUAUGGAGGUAGUUUUGACAAACUCCAGUUUCAAGGUGAAGCUCUUCCUUACAGGAUAUGAUGAAUAUGUGUAAGCCCUCUGGGCAAUUAGGAUUACCAUAAAGAAGAUGACUACAAGGGAGGAGAGAAGCUUAUUAUCACGAAGGGCAGGUCAGUAUGAAGCCUUAAUCUGGUUUUGAUUUGAAUAACAUAGGACCUUACUUGUUCCCUUCUUUGAAGUGGGUUAAAGGGAUUAUCCUACUAGGUGUGAUUAAGAAUAUAGUAAGAUGAAUCUUAAACUAUUAGCUCAGAUGUGCAAGAUACCAUAUUUCUUUUAUUUAAGAAAAAUCAACUUAUCCUACUUUGUCCCUGGUUUCCAAAUCAAAACUUAUUUUGUUACACAGAGGAAAAAAGUCUGCUUUGGAGAGAAAAUUGAACUUGGGUCACCUUGAACUCUAAGAAAAUAUGAUCAUAAUUCUACAAAGAAAUAAAACACCAUACAUAUGCUAAA